rnacentral:tRNA from 1 species
UUAACUGAAACCAAAUUAGAGGUGUAUUACUGUUAAUAAUAUGAUUGAAUAUAAAAUUCUAGUUAAG